AAUGACUAAGUUAAAUAAAGGUUGAAUAAGAAAUUUUAAAUAAAACCAAGGAACGAGAUAAAGAUAAUACAUUAAGUUAAUGUGAACUAAGUUGUAUGGAUUAAGUAAAAAAGAAAGGGAGAAAUUAUUCAUGUUAACAACUCAGGAGGAGCUAAUAAAGGAAAUGGAAAGACUGAAAAUAGAAGUGCAGGGACCACGAGAGUCCGGGGAGAAGUUGUUCAUAAUAGGAGCUCAUCCGACGUUGUUAGAUAGAGUGAAGGAAUCGCAAGAGAAUGAUGAAGAGUACAAGAAGAUAAAGAAGAGGAUAGCAGAAAACGAAGAAGAAAACUUUAAAAUGGACAAGAAUGGUAUACUAAGAUUCGAAGAUUGAAUGUGGG
rnacentral:lncRNA from 1 species